GCCCGGUUAGCUCAAUUGGAUAGAGCGUGAGACUCUUACGUAAGCUUGUCAGCAGUUGCCAUCUCAAGGUUGCGGGUUCGACCCCCGCAUUGGGCU